rnacentral:lncRNA from 1 species
CCAAACGUAGCUAACUUAUCAAUCUAAGUCAGAUUAUCAUACAACGCAACGCCUUCCCUUCAGUUCUCCUGAAAUAAUUUAUAAAAUACGAAGUAGCAACAAAUCGUGCAAACCUAAUGUCAAGCCACAUGAUUUGCACACUCACAAUUCUCACCAUAAUAAGACAUUGCAAUCCAGUUCAAGCGAAAUACUGGUUACGAAAAAUAGAGAACGAAUCACCUAGAAAUUGGCUCAUCUCACUAAGACCAAUUUUGUACUACGCCUCUUGCAAAGUUCCCCAUACCAUUCAUAUCAUGGAGAAAGAAGAACAGAAGAAAGUGCAAUACUAGAAGACAGAAAUGCAGAAGGGUAUGAAAAUCAUCACUCAGUACUAAAAAUAAAAAAGACAUAAUCAACUAGAAAUUGGCA